CAGCAACGGAUCUCUUGGCUCUCGCAUCGAUGAAGAACGCAGCGAAAUGCGAUAAGUAAUGUGAAUUGCAGAAUUCAGUGAAUCAUCGAAUCUUUGAACGCACCUUGCGCUCCUUGGUAUUCCGAGGAGCAUGCCUGUUUGAGUGU
rnacentral:rRNA from 31 species